rnacentral:rRNA from 1 species
AAGAUUAAACUGAAGAGUUUGAUCCUGGCUCAGAUUGAACGCUGGCGGUAUGCUUAACACAUGCAAGUCGAAC